GGGCAUACAGUAGAUAAAACGGUAUUUUGUUUUUAGAAUGCAUGAAGCGGCGAUGAGAGACCUUUCUCUUUAGGGUUUAGGCGUUAAUUAAGUUCACGGCCACACGCUCCUUUUCUCUGUUUCCGAGGCAGGUUAUGGCUGUUCGUUCUGUGCUUGGAAAGCUGGGUAGGAGUAGAUUUAUUCCCAACAAUGGAAGACUUAUCAUGGUUGGGAGUUCUCCUACUGUUUGUUCCUCUCCUCAUCACCCUUUUGAUUAUUAUGGGGUUGUCCAUGAUCAAAACAAAGCGGAUAAAAAAAGCAACCCUUUUCUUCUUGGAUCGCUUAUGAAAGAGCCAGUUUAUUGUCAUUUGGAUUUUGGAGGACUAGG